GAGGAUAUAGCUUAGUGGAAGAGUGUGUGCUUAGCACGCACAAGGUCCUGGGUUCAAUCACCAGUCCCUUCA
rnacentral:tRNA from 1 species